rnacentral:rRNA from 1 species
GAUGAACGCUGGCGGUAUGCUUAACACAUGCAAGUCGAACGGACUCUUCGGAGUUAGUGGCGGACGGGUGAGUAACGCGUGAGAAUCUGGCUUUGGGUUCGGGACAACCACUGGAAACGGUGGCUAAUACCGGAUGUGCCGAGAGGUAAAAGAGAAAUUGCCUGAAGAUGAGCUCGCGUCUGAUUAGCUAGUUGGUGAGGUAAAGGCUCACCAAGGCAGCGAUCAGUAGCUGGUCUGAGAGGAUGACCAGCCACACUGGGACUGAGACACGGCCCAGACUCCUACGGGAGGCAGCAGUGGGGAAUUUUCCGCAAUGGGCGAAAGCCUGACGGAGCAAUACCGCGUGAGGGAAGAAGGCUCUGGGGUUGUAAACCUCUUUUCUUAGGGAAGAAUAAAAUGACGGUACCUAAGGAAUCAGCAUCGGCUAACUCCGUG